GUCGGGUUCGGGAUGAAAUGGUUGACCUUCUCCCCGAUGACCGCGUAGGUCCGCUUCCCGUCGGUGAGCAUCUGCACCCCGCGGGCCCUGAACUCCUU
rnacentral:sRNA from 1 species